UACGUAGGGGGCAAGCGUUGUCCGGAAUCAUUGGGCGUAAAGCGCGUGUAGGCGGCUCGGUAAGUCUGCUGUGAAAGUCCAGGGCUCAACCCUGGGAUGCCGGUGGAUACUGUCGAGCUCGAGUCCGGAAGAGGCGAGUGGAAUUCCUGGUGUAGCGGUGAAAUGCGCAGAUAUCAGGAGGAACACCAAUGGCGAAGGCAGCUCGCUGGGACGUGACUGACGCUGAGACGCGAAAGCAUGGGGAGCGAACAGG
rnacentral:rRNA from 1 species